AGCAGGGUGAAGGCACCCUGCUGCCCUGCGGAGGCUUUAAAGGCUGUCCCUGAAGCCAGAACAGGGAGACGGAGUGCUGCGCAGCUGGCUGCGCAAAGCCUCUGCAGGGCAGCAGGGUGCCUUCACCCCGC